rnacentral:lncRNA from 1 species
CUGCCAUCAGCUCAGGCAGAUUUCUAAGCAGCAAAUCAGCCUUUGCCAGAACACUGCAGGACACCAGUGCAGCGCCCAGCCUGCGACCAUGAGGCUCUAGGGGAUGGUAGAGUCACAGGAUGGAAGAACUCUGUGUCCUUGAAUCAUUGCAUGGAAGAGAACUGGAAGUUGCCCAGGAACACCAGCCUUGGACAGUUAUGUGAACAAGAAAUAAACUUCUUUUACAGUGUCA